ensembl:miRNA
AUCCAGGUCUGAGGCAUGAACCUGGCAUACAAUGUAGAUUUCUGUGUUUGUUAGGCAACAGCUACAUUGUCUGCUGGGUUUCAGGCUACCUGGAA